GCUAAUGCGCAGGCGCUGGCGGGAUAGCGCGCCGCCGAGCCGAGAAAGGGGUCACGAACUCUGACCCCCCCCAGAAAUACCCAAACACAGAACGCUCUCUCCGCCGUGAAUCUCGAUCCCCCAUCCCGUCGGCUUUCUUCAACCUCUCUUCCCGGAGCGCCCCCCCCAGUCCACGAGUGGCAGCCGCGGGACUGUCGCGUCGGCGCCCGACGCCGGAGUCAGCAGGGCGCAAAAGCGCCGGACAUUUUGGCAGUUAGAUCAUGGCAACCAUAGAAGAAAUUGCACAUCAGAUUAUUGAACAACAGAUGGGAGAGGAUAGAAUUUUGUGGCAAUAGAAUCGGUAGUUUAAAAGAUUGUUACAGAGCAGCAAACUGGGCAGAAAAUCCAGAUUGUGACAGCACUUGAUCGUACUACCCAAGGCAAGCAGUUCAUUCUGACGAAUCACGACGGCUCUACUCCAAGCAAAGUCAUUCUGGCCAGGCAAGAUUCCACUCCGGGAAAAGUUUUCCUUACAACUCCAGAUGCAGCAGGUGUCAACCAGUUAUUUUUUACCACUCCUGAUCUGUCUGCACAACACAUGCAGCUCCUAACAGAUAAUUCUUCUCCAGACCAAGGACCAAAUAAGGUUUUUGAUCUUUGCGUAGUAUGUGG
rnacentral:sRNA from 1 species